rnacentral:rRNA from 1 species
AUUGAACGCUGGCGGCAGGCCUAACACAUGCAAGUCGAGCGGAUGAAGGGAGCUUGCUCCUGGAUUCAGCGGCGGACGGGUGAGUAAUGCCUAGGAAUCUGCCUGGUCGUGGGGGAUAACGUCCGGAAACGGGCGCUAAUACCGCAUACGUCCUGAGGUAGAAAGUGGGGGAUCUUCGGACCUCACGCUAUCAGAUGAGCCUAGGUCGGAUUAGCUAGUUGGUUGGGUAAAGGCCUACCAAGGCGACGAUCCGUAACUGGUCUGAGAGGAUGAUCAGUCACACUGGAACUGAGACACGGUCCAGACUCCUACGGGAGGCAGCAGUGGGGAAUAUUGGACAAUGGGCGAAAGCCUGAUCCAGCCAUGCCGCGUGUGUGAAGAAGGUCUUCGGAUUGUAAAGCACUUUAAGUUGGGAGGAAGAGCAGUAAGUUAAUACCUUGCUGUUUUGACGUUACCAACAGAAUAAGCACCGGCUAACUCCGUG